GGGGGUGUAAUGGCUUCGACAGGGAUUGGUCAAGGUCAGAUAAGCAGGCCGCAGUCCCCGAAACUGCGUUAAAAAAUUGGGACUUAAAAAUAAACGCUAAAACUAACAAAACAGCUGUAGCUCCGGCUAUGGCGCUUGCUGCUUAAUUUAAAAGCAGCCUUCCGACCGGACUUUCCCCGUCUGGGUUCGGCUCGGGAGUCAUUCAAGGCGGGCUACUGCAUUGCUUAAGCUUUGCGGCAAUGCGGAACAGAUGAAGCUACCUCGCGCGUUUCUUGUGCGCUUGCGGCGCGAUGAGGGAAAUACAGCGAACGCAAUAAGCUUGUAGAAAGUCUGGCUGAGAGAUUUUUGGACACGGGUUCGACUCCCGUCACCUCCACCA
rnacentral:tmRNA from 1 species